GGCCAAAGAGAGGGCAACCUCAGGCUGCCUGUUGCGGCUGCCAUUCUGAGCACCGGACACCUUCAUGGCCCUUUUCACUGCUGGCUCUCUCCGAUCAGACCAUCCCACAGUAGCCUCAGGAAUCUGAUAGCCAGUUCUACUGUGGAAGCCGGCUUCAGACCCCGUCUGUCUUGCUGUCCCCAGAGACUGUCUAUCUGUUGCCCACAUACAUUCCAGAGCAAGUGAACACCAAGGGUUUAAAUGUGGGCACAUUUUCUACUGCAAGGAACGA
ensembl:lincRNA predicted gene, 30928